ACGAACGCUGGCGGCACGCUUAACACAUGCAAGUCGAACGAGAGAAGAGGAGCUUGCUUUUCUGAUCUAGUGGCGGACGGGUGAGUAACACGUGAGCAAUCUGCCUUUCAGAGGGGGAUACCGAUUGGAAACGAUCGUUAAUACCGCAUAACAUAAUUGAACCGCAUGAUUUGAUUAUCAAAGAUUUAUCGCUGAAAGAUGAGCUCGCGUCUGAUUAGCUAGUUGGUAAGGUAACGGCUUACCAAGGCGACGAUCAGUAGCCGGACUGAGAGGUUGAUCGGCCACAUUGGGACUGAGACACGGCCCAGACUCCUACGGGAGGCAGCAGUGGGGAAUAUUGCACAAUGGAGGAAACUCUGAUGCAGCGAUGCCGCGUGAGGGAAGAAGGUUUUAGGAUUGUAAACCUCUGUCUUCAGGGACGAAAAAAGACGGUACCUGAGGAGGAAGCUCCGGCUAACUACGUGCCAGCAGCCGCGGUAAUACGUAGGGAGCGAGCGUUGUCCGGAAUUACUGGGUGUAAAGGGAGCGUAGGCGGGAUCGCAAGUCAGAUGUGAAAACUAUGGGCUUAACCCAUAAACUGCAUUUGAAACUGUGGUUCUUGAGUGAAGUAGAGGUAAGCGGAAUUCCUAGUGUAGCGGUGAAAUGCGUAGAUAUUAGGAGGAACAUCAGUGGCGAAGGCGGCUUACUGGGCUUUAACUGACGCUGAGGCUCGAAAGCGUGGGGAGCAAACAGGAUUAGAUACCCUGGUAGUCCAUGCCGUAAACGAUGAUUACUAGGUGUGGGGGGACUGACCCCUUCCGUGCCGCAGCAAACGCAAUAAGUAAUCCACCUGGGGAGUACGACCGCAAGGUUGAAACUCAAAGGAAUUGACGGGGGCCCGCACAAGCAGUGGAGUAUGUGGAUUAAUUCGAAGCAACGCGAAGAACCUUACCAGGUCUUGACAUCGUAUGCAUAGCUCAGAGAUGAGUGAAAUCUCUUCGGAGACAUAUAGACAGGUGGUGCAUGGUUGUCGUCAGCUCGUGUCGUGAGAUGUUGGGUUAAGUCCCGCAACGAGCGCAACCCUUACUGUUAGUUGCUACGCAAGAGCACUCUAGCAGGACUGCCGUUGACAAAACGGAGGAAGGUGGGGAUGACGUCAAAUCAUCAUGCCCCUUAUGACCUGGGCCUCACACGUACUACAAUGGCUGUCAACAGAGGGAAGCAAAGCCGCGAGGUGGAGCAAACCCCUAAAAGCAGUCUUAGUUCGGAUUGUAGGCUGCAACCCGCCUACAUGAAGUCGGAAUUGCUAGUAAUCGCAGAUCAGCAUGCUGCGGUGAAUACGUUCCCGGGCCUUGUACACACCGCCCGUCACGCCAUGGGAGUCGGUAACACCCGAAGCCUGUAGUCUAACCGCAAGGAGGACGCAGUCGAAGGUGGGAUUGAUGACUGGGGUG
rnacentral:rRNA from 1 species